AUUGAACGCUGGCGGCAUGCUUUACACAUGCAAGUCGAACGGCAGCGCGGGCUUCGGCCUGGCGGCGAGUGGAGAACGGGUGAGUAAUACAUCGGAACGUGCCCAGUCGUGGGGGAUAGCUCGGCGAAAGCCGGAUUAAUACCGCAUACGCCCUGAGGGUGAAAGCGGGGGAUCUUCGGACCUCGCGCUAUUGGAGCGGCCGAUGGCCGAUUAGCUAGUUGGUGGGGUAAAGGCCUACCAAGGCGACGAUCUGUAGCUGGUCUGAGAGGACGACCAGCCACACUGGGACUGAGACACGGCCCAGACUCCUACGGGAGGCAGCAGUGGGGAAUGUUGGACAAUGGGCGAAAGCCUGAUCCAGCAAUGCCGCGUGUGUGAUGAAGGCCUUCGGGUUGUAAAGCACUUUUGGCGGGAACGAAAAGGACUGUGCCAAUACCACGGUUCGAUGACGGUACCCGCAGAAUAAGCACCGGCUAACUACGUG
rnacentral:rRNA from 1 species